GCUGGGAUAGCUCAGUUGGUAGAGCAUGAGACUCUUAGGGUUGUGGGUUUGAGUCCCACAUUCGGCA